GCGCCGGUAGCUCAGUGGUAGAGCAGNNGGUCGCGGGUCCGAUCCCCGCCCGGCGCACCA
rnacentral:tRNA from 1 species